GACGAACGCUGGCGGCGUGCUUAACACAUGCAAGUCGAACGGAAAGGCCUCUUUCGGGGGUACUCGAGUGGCGAACGGGUGAGUAACACGUGAGUAACCUGCCCUUGACUUUGGGAUAACUUCAGGAAACUGGGGCUAAUACCGGAUAGGAGCUCCUGCUGCAUGGUGGGGGUUGGAAAGUUUCGGCGGUUGGGGGUGGACUCGCGGCUUAUCAGCUUGUUGGUGGGGUAGUGGCUUACCAAGGCUUUGACGGGUAGCCGGCCUGAGAGGGUGACCGGCCACAUUGGGACUGAGAUACGGCCCAGACUCCGACGGGAGGCAGCAGGGGGGAAUAUUGCACGAGGGGUGGAAGCCUGAUGCAGCAACGCCGUGUGCGGGAUGACGGCCUUCGGGUUGAAAACCGAUUUCGCUCAUGACGAAGCUUUGUGUGACGGUAGUGGGUAAAGAAGCACCGGCUAACUACGUG
rnacentral:rRNA from 1 species